rnacentral:rRNA from 1 species
GAUGAACGCUGGCGGCGUGCCUAAUACAUGCAAGUCGAGCGAACAGACGAGGAGCUUGCUCCUCUGACGUUAGCGGCGGACGGGUGAGUAACACGUGGAUAACCUACCUAUAAGACUGGGAUAACUUCGGGAAACCGGAGCUAAUACCGGAUAACAUGUUGAACCGCAUGGUUCAACAGUGAAAGACGGUCUUGCUGUCACUUAUAGAUGGAUCCGCGCCGCAUUAGCUAGUUGGUAAGGUAACGGCUUACCAAGGCAACGAUGCGUAGCCGACCUGAGAGGGUGAUCGGCCACACUGGAACUGAGACACGGUCCAGACUCCUACGGGAGGCAGCAGUAGGGAAUCUGCCGCAAUGGGCGAAAGCCUGACGGAGCAACGCCGCGUGAGUGAAGAAGGUCUUCGGAUCGUAAAACUCUGUUAUUAGGGAAGAACAAAUGUGUAAGUAACGAUGCACGUCUUGACGGUACCUAAUCAGAAAGCCACGGCUAACUACGUG